rnacentral:rRNA from 1 species
AUAUGCCUACAAUAUCGCAUUAAUGCACCAGAUCCCAUUAGAACUCCAUAGUUAAUCACACUCAUGCUAGAGUAGUACUGGGAUGGGUGACCACCCGGGAAGUUCUUGUAUUUUACAUGUC